rnacentral:rRNA from 1 species
UAAACUAGGAUUAGAUACCCUAUUAUUUAAAAUGUAAUUUAUAACACUGAGGUAGUAGUAGCUAUGUUCUUGAAACUUAAAAAAUUUGGCGGUAUUUUAGUCUAUUCAGAGGAACCUGUCCUGUGAUUGAUAAUCCACGUUGAACCUUACUUAUAUUUGUUUUUCAGUUUAUAUACCGUCGUUAUCAGAAUAUUUUAUUAGAAAAAUAAUUUUCUAUAAUUUUUAUUGGAAUUUAUAUCAGAUCAAGGUGUAGCUUAUAUUUAAGUAGAGAUGGGUUACAAUAAAUUUAUUUAAACGGAUUUAGAUUUGUAAUAUUUUAAUGAAGGUGGAUUUGAUAGUAAAAUUUUAAAGAUUGUAAAUUUGAUUUUAGCUCUAGAAUAUGCACACAUCGCCCGUCGCUCUUGCUAUUAAGGUAAGAUAAGUCGUAACAUAGUA